GACGAACGCUGGCGGCGUGCUUAACACAUGCAAGUCGAGCGGAAAGGCCCUGCUUUUGUGGGGUGCUCGAGUGGCGAACGGGUGAGUAACACGUGAGUAACCUGCCCUUGACUUUGGGAUAACUUCAGGAAACUGGGGCUAAUACCGGAUAGGAGCUCCUGCUGCAUGGUGGGGGUUGGAAAGUUUCGGCGGUUGGGGAUGGACUCGCGGCUUAUCAGCUUGUUGGUGGGGUAGUGGCUUACCAAGGCUUUGACGGGUAGCCGGCCUGAGAGGGUGACCGGCCACAUUGGGACUGAGAUACGGCCCAGACUCCUACGGGAGGCAGCAGUGGGGAAUAUUGCACAAUGGGCGGAAGCCUGAUGCAGCAACGCCGCGUGCGGGAUGACGGCCUUCGGGUUGUAAACCGCUUUCGCCUGUGACGAAGCGUGAGUGACGGUAAUGGGCAAAGAAGCACCGGCUAACUACGUG
rnacentral:rRNA from 1 species